rnacentral:rRNA from 1 species
UACGUAGGGGGCAAGCGUUGUCCGGAAUCAUUGGGCGUAAAGCGCGUGUAGGCGGCCAGGUAAGUCCGUUCUGAAAGCCCGGGGCUCAACCCCGGGAGGCGGAUGGAUACUGCUUGGCUCGAGUCCGGAAGAGGCGAGUGGAAUUCCCGGUGUAGCGGUGAAAUGCGCAGAUAUCGGGAGGAACACCUAUGGCGAAGGCAGCUCGCUGGGACGUGACUGACGCUGAGACGCGAAAGCGUGGGGAGCAAACAGG